GAUGAAGAACGUAGCGAAAUGCGAUAAGUAGUGUGAAUUGCAGAAUUCAGUGAAUCAUCGAAUCUUUGAACGCACAUUGCGCCCUUUGGUAUUCCUUAGGGCAUGCCUGUUCGAGCGUCAUUUAAACCUUCAAGCUCAGCUUGGUGUUGGGUGACUGUCCGCUGCCCUCGGGUGCGGACUCGCCUCAAAAUCAUUGGCGGCCGGUACAUUGGCUUCGAGCGCAGCAGAAACGCGAACUCGGAGUCGUUGUAUUAGCUCCCAGAAGCUAUCUUCAUAAUUUUGACCUCGGAUCAGGUAGGGAUACCCGCUGAACUUAAGCAUAUCAAUAAGCGGAGGA
rnacentral:misc_RNA from 1 species